GUCAGGGCCCGCGCCGCCGCCAUCAUGGGGGGGGCCCGGCCCUCGCCGCCGCCGCCAUGUUGGGGAGGUCGCGGCCUGUGGGCGGGCGUGGGGAGCCCACCAGAAAACCCACGGGAUUUAGGUGCACGCAGCUCUUCGUGUGGCACCGACGGGGUUUAGACACGCGGGGGUACCAGUGUAGGAUCUAUGCAACCUUAGAUGUGCAAGGUAGUGCAGUGUCUAUGGGCUUUAGAGACACGGGUCCCGAUGUAGGAUCUGUGCAACCUUAGACGUGCAUAGCACAGUGCCCAAUGUAGCGCCUAUGGGCUUUAGACACGCAGGGGGUCCCGAUGUAGCACGUACACAACCUUUGACGUGCAUAACACAGUGCCCAGUGUAGCGUCUGUGGGCUUUAGACACGCGGGGGGUCCCGAUGUAGCAUCUGCACAACCUUAGAUGUGCAUACACAGUGCCCAAUGUAGCAUCUAUGGGCUUUAGACACGCAGGGGUCCCGAUGUAGGAUCUAUGCGACCUUAGACAUGCAUAGCACGGUGCCCAAUGUAGUGUCUAUGGGCUUUAGACACGCAGGGGUCCCGAUGUAGGAUCUAUGCGACCUUAGACAUGCAUAGCACGGUGCCCAAUGUAGCGUCUAUGGGCUUUAGACACACAGGGGUCCCAAUGUAGGAUCUAUGCAACCUUAGAUAUGCACAGCACAGUGCCCAAUGUAGUGUCUAUGGGCGUUAGACACACGGGAGUCCCAAUGUAGCAUCUGCACAACCUUAGAUGUGCAUAGCACGGUGCCCAAUGUAGCGUCUAUGGGCUUUAGACACGCAGGGGUCCCGAUGUAGGAUCUAUGUGACCUUAGACAUGCAUAGCAUAGUGUCCAACGUAGUGUCUACGGGCUUUAGACAUGCGUGGGUCCCAAUGUAGGAUCUACGCAAGCUUAGACGUGCCUAGUUCUCAGUGUAGCACCUACACGGCUGUAGAUGCACCGUGUCCAAUGUAGCGCCUAUGGGCUUUAGACACACAAAGCCACAUCCUGCAGAUGGGAUUAGUCCACGGGCCAAAUCCAGCAUGGGAUGAUCAGCAUGCAGGUCUCUCCAUGGGUGCAAUCCAGGACAAACCCGCAUGCUGGAUCUGACUGCAGAGCGACCCGGGUGCUGACACAAUCUGGCGCAGGGAGCCAUGUCAUCUAGCUUGCAGGGCUCCCCACGGUGUGGAAAUUGGGAGGGGAAGCAGUGGCAGCAUUAAUGUCACUGCCACCGAAUUUCCAGACCCGUGGGGUGCCCCAUGGGCAGAACAGCAUGGCCCCAUGGGCCGCAUUCGACCCAUGGGUUGGAGGUUGAGCACCCCUGUUCCCGAGCGCUAGCCAGCCUGUUGCGGUGUGCUCGGUAUGAAAUGGCAACGGCAUGCCAAGAGGGAUGCCAAAGCACGCUCCUCUAGGGAGGACCAAGCCAGACCCAUUUCAGAUGCAAAAUACCGACACGCAGGAGUCAACAGAGUUCCCUAAGUUUCGUGGUUAUGGGAUCACAGCUGUGUGUUGAGCAGUGAGGUGGUUGCUGCGGUCUGUGGUCAAAGCUGUUUCGUCUGCAUGGGAUCCUAGAGAGCGGCACAGGUGCUAAAUGGCCAUUUCAUGGGACAAGGCAGUGAUUUCCCACCUGGGACUUCUGCCCAGGAUGAGACCUCUUGUUCCUACCACAGUUCAGGAAAACGGGACAGUGUGCGUGAAAUGCAAAUGGCACUAAGAGUGUCUACUUCUACCAGGAAUAGAAACUGCAGAACUGCAAGUACCUACUGCCGCUUACCCAAGGAUGAAACGAUGAAAAGGUCCUUGGCGCACAGUUGGAUUCAACAGCAGUUUAGACAUCUGCAUAAAAGUCAUCAUAUUAGCCAAGGGAGAACAUUGCAGCUGGUUUGUAGUAGAAUCAUGAUUCUGGAAAUACUCCUGAUGCCACAGUGCCAAGUGUGUCAAUACCUUUCUGAUGGAGAUGUCCAGAGCUGAUUGCACUAUUCCACGUCGAGUUCAACCAGAGCCAGCUCAGGGCGAGCUGUUCAGUGCCUCCUCUCUGUUCUGGGAUUUGUUACCUCUGCGUGAAGGGUGAACUCGUCUCAAGCAGUAGGAGGGCACGUUCUGAGCAUGAAACAGUUUAGUAACGACCUGAUAUCUUGCGGUGGCCAGAGGAAACGCUACACGGACACACUGAAGGCAGACCUCAAGAAAACGGAUGCCGACAUCAAGAGCUGGGAGGAGCUGGCUGCUGACCGACUCCAGUGGUGCUGCAACCAAGCAGCAACCUGUUUUGAGGUCACUGUUUGAGACUGUCCAGGCAGAAGACCACUACUCCAAAGAAGACACAGCGACUUGCCUUUCAGUAACCAGCUCUUAGGGUGAAGGGCACAAGAGAAACCAGGCAAAGGAUGCUGCAGAGCAGAAAAAAUAGUUCCAGUUGCCUGUCCUGGGAGUGCAUGAACAUCCUAGAGGGACAUAUAUAUGGAGAGAACAUUGCAAAGAAUGCCAGGACCAGUGAAGAGAACAGCAAGCAAAACGUAGGUGCAUCGUAGUGCCUGGAUGCACAGUCUCUUCGAGAGUCUGGGAAAGACCUUAGCAGCUGCUCUAGUAUUAUCAUUAAACCAACAGCUCCGUCUGGAUAUCAGAUUGUACCAGUUUUCCUGUAGUCUCUUGCUCCUUUUGUAUACCUCUUUCUGGCAAACAAGGCAUUAAAA